rnacentral:rRNA from 1 species
GACGAACGCUGGCGGCGUGCCUAAUACAUGCAAGUAGAACGCUGAAGAGAGGAGCUUACUCUUCUUGGAUGAGUUGCGAACGGGUGAGUAACGCGUAGGUAACCUGCCUUGUAGCGGGGGAUAACUAUUGGAAACGAUAGCUAAUACCGCAUAACAAUGGAUGACACAUGUCAUUUAUUUGAAAGGGGCAAUUGCUCCACUACAAGAUGGACCUGCGUUGUAUUAGCUAGUAGGUGAGGUAAUGGCUCACCUAGGCGACGAUACAUAGCCGACCUGAGAGGGUGAUCGGCCACACUGGGACUGUGACACGGCCCAGACUCCUACGGGAGGCAGCAGUAGGGAAUCUUCGGCAAUGGGGGCAACCCUGACCGAGCAACGCCGCGUGAGUGAAGAAGGUUUUCGGAUCGUAAAGCUCUGUUGUAAGUCAAGAACGGGUGUGAGAGUGGAAAGUUCACACUGUGACGGUAGCUUACCAGAAAGGGACGGCUAACUACGUG